AACGCGAAGAACCUUACCUGGGCUCGAAAUGCAGGAGACGACAUCAGAAAUGAUGUUUUCCGAAAGGACUGCUGUAUAGGUGCUGCAUGGCUGUCGUCAGCUCGUGCCGUGAGGUGUUGGGUUAAGUCCCGCAACGAGCGCAACCCUUAUCACUAGUUGCCAUCACGAAAGGUGGGGACUCUAGUGAGACUGCCUAGGUUAACUAGGAGGAAGGUGAGGAUGACGUCAAGUCCGCAUGGCCUUUAUGUCCAGGGCAACACACGUGCUACAAUGGUCGGUACAGAGGGCAGCCAAACCGUAAGGUGGAGCAAAUCCCAGAAAGCCGAUCUCAGUUCAGAUUGUGGUCUGCAACUCGACCACAUGAAGUUGGAAUUGCUAGUAAUGGCGAGUCAGCUACAUCGCCGUGAAUACGUUCCCGGGCCUUGUA
rnacentral:rRNA from 1 species